CGGAGGGUGCGAGCGUUGUCCGGAAUCACUGGGCGUAAAGGGCGCGUAGGCGGCCCGGUAAGUAGGGGGUGAAAUCUUGCGGCUUAACCGCAAGGCUGCCUUCUAGACUGCCAGGCUUGAGCACAGUAGAGGCAGGUGGAAUUCCCGGUGUAGCGGUGGAAUGCGUAGAGAUCGGGAAGAACAUCAGUGGCGAAGGCGGCCUGCUGGACUGUAGCUGACGCUGAGGCGCGACAGCGUGGGGAGCAAACAGGA
rnacentral:rRNA from 1 species